CGCGCAGGUGGUUGAUUAAGUCUGAUGUGAAAGCCCACGGCUUAACCGUGGAGGGUCAUUGGAAACUGGUCAACUUGAGUGCAGAAGAGGGAAGUGGAAUUCCAUGUGUAGCGGUGAAAUGCGUAGAGAUAUGGAGGAACACCAGUGGCGAAGGCGGCUUCCUGGUCUGUAACUGACACUGAGGCGCGAAAGCGUGGGGAGCAAACAG
rnacentral:rRNA from 1 species